rnacentral:tRNA from 1 species
GGCCUCGUAGUUCAGUUGGCUAGAGCAUUGACUGUAUAAAGGCCUUUUCCUUGCUGGCUUGGGUUCGAAUCCCCCCGAGGCCA